GUUCAUUGUUGCUCCAUUUUUGGUCCUAGCUAAGAUUUAUGGGCACUGUGUCCUCCCUGUGUCUGGAGAGGUAAAUUGGUCCCUGACAGACACCUCUCCCCACUCGCUGUGGUUACUAUGGAAACAGGCAUGUCAUAACAGUUCCUAUGAUACAGUGUGCAGAGCUGCUGUUCUUACAGAAUGAUGGCAUAUCUUCUAAGAGCAAGAAAUUUUAUGAAAUGCAAAAAAGCAAAGGCAAUAGCAUAAAGAUACACACAUACUUACAUAUAUAUGCAUAUACGCACAUAUAUGUACACACAUCCAUCUAAAGGACCCUUGAUCAGUGCCCCAAACAUAAUUAUUAGCGUAGUCACUCUUAAAAUAUAGAAGCUUGAGGCUUUUGAUAUUCUUCAGAUUUUCCAAAA